CUCACGUGCUCGACUCGGCAACCUCUCGCCUCCUUCGCCCUUCUUGCUCCUCUGCGUUACACUACUACUGUCGAAGCUCUAGCUUCUCUGUUCAAUCAAAAAAUUUGCACUGAUGUCGGACGAGGAGCACCAAUUUGAGUCAAAGGCAGAUGCCGGUGCAUCUAAAACUUACCCUCAACAAGCUGGUACUAUCCGUAAGAACGGUCAUAUCGUCAUCAAAGGCCGUCCCUGCAAGGUUGUGGAAGUCUCUACAUCCAAAACUGGAAAGCACGGUCAUGCAAAAUGUCAUUUUGUCGCUAUUGACAUCUUCACUGGAAAGAAGCUUGAGGAUAUUGUUCCCUCUUCACACAAUUGUGAUGUGCCCCAUGUUAAUCGUACAGAUUAUCAGCUUAUUGACAUCUCUGAAGAUGGAUUUGUGAGUCUGCUCACUGAGAAUGGUAACACCAAGGAUGACCUUAGGCUUCCUACUGAUGACAACCUCCUUACACAGAUCAAGGAUGGUUUUGCUGAGGGAAAAGACCUUGUUGUGUCUGUCAUGUCAGCCAUGGGUGNGUGAGGAGCAGAUUUGUGCCCUGAAGGAUAUUGGUCCCAAGUAAAUCUCUCGAUUGGAGAUUGUUCGAUGCGAAGUUCUUUACUACCUUAAGUUGGAUAGAUAUUAUAGUCAUGGAAAAAGGUAUGGUCUUAUGGACCAACUUGUUCAAGAAUAUUCUUCAGGAUUCUCGGACCAUUGCGAGUUAGAUUUUCGUAUUUUUGUUAUUUUAACUUGUGUUCGUCUGAAUUUUGUUCUACCUUAAAGCUUUUUUCAAAAUUUGGUGUGGGAAAAUGUUACCUGCAGCUGCAUACAUUCUUCACCAA